rnacentral:rRNA from 1 species
UACGGAGGGUGCAAGCGUUAAUCGGAAUUACUGGGCGUAAAGCGCACGCAGGUGGCUGAGUCAGUCGAUUGUGAAAGCCCUGGGCUUAACCUGGGAAUUGCAGUCGAUACUACUCAGCUAGAGUAUGGGAGAGGGUAGUGGAAUUCCCGGUGUAGCGGUGAAAUGCUUAGAUAUCGUCAAGAACACCUAUAGCGAAGGCAGCUUACUAGGCUGUAACUGACGCUGAGGCACGAAAGUGUGGGGAUCAAACAGG